rnacentral:rRNA from 1 species
GGGCCCGCACAAGCAGUGGAUUAUGUGGUUUAAUUCGAAGCAACGCGAAGAACCUUACCAGGUCUUGACAUCCAACUAACGAGAUAGAGAUAUGUUAGGUGCCCUUCGGGGAAAGUUGAGACAGGUGGUGCAUGGUUGUCGUCAGCUCGUGUCGUGAGAUGUUGGGUUAAGUCCCGCAACGAGCGCAACCCCUGCCAUUAGUUGCUACGCAAGAGCACUCUAAUGGGACCGCUACCGACAAGGUGGAGGAAGGUGGGGACGACGUCAAAUCAUCAUGCCCCUUAUGACCUGGGCUACACACGUAAUACAAUGGCCGUAAACAAAGGGAAGCAAUACCGCGAGGUGGAGCAAAACCCUAAAAACGGUCUCAGUUCGGAUUGCAGGCUGCAACUCGCCUGCAUGAAGUUGGAAUUGCUAGUAAUCGUGGAUCAGCAUGCCA